GUGUCAAUAUGAAGGCUUGUGUGUGGAUCUGAAUAAUUCCUAUACGUGCAAUUGCAGCGAUGGAUUCGUGGGCACAAACUGUGAAACAAAUAUCAACGAGUGUAGCUCUAGCCCGUGUGUACAAGGCUCUUGCAUCGAUCAGAUUAACGGCUUUACGUGUUUUUGCAGCGAUGGAUUCAUGGGCAUUAGAUGUGAAUUAAAUAUCAACGAGUGCAUUUCUGAACCGUGUCAAUAUGGAGGCUUGUGUUUGGAUGUAAAUAGCUUUUAUACGUGCAGUUGCAACGAUGGAUUCACGGGCACAAACUGUGAAACAAGUAAGUUUUUGCAUUUUCAUUCCAAUCAAAUAUUGUAAUGA